UGGGGGAUAUUGCACAAUGGAGGAAACUCUGAUGCAGCGACGCCGCGUGAGGGAAGAAGGUCUUCGGAUUGUAAACCUUUGUCCUUGGUGACGAUAAUGACGGUAGCCAAGGAGGAAGCUCCGGCUAACUACGUGCCAGCAGCCGCGGUAAUACGUAGGGAGCGAGCGUUGUCCGGAUUUACUGGGUGUAAAGGGUGCGUAGGCGGCUCUGCAAGUCAGGUGUGAAAACCAUCGGCUUAACUGAUGGACUGCAUUUGAAACUGUGGGGCUUGAGUGGAGUAGAGGCAGACGGAAUUCCCGGUGUAGCGGUGAAAUGCGUAGAGAUCGGGAAGAACACCAGUGGCGAAGGCGGUUUGCUGGGCUCUAACUGACGCUGAGGCACGAAAGCAUGGGUAGCAAACAGG
rnacentral:rRNA from 1 species